UCGGGAAUUUUGGGCAAUGGGCGCAAGCCUGAUCCAGCCAUGCCGCGUGGAUGAUGAAGGCCUUAGGGUUGUAAAAUCCUUUCGUGGGGGACGAUAAUGACGGUACCCCAAGAAGAAGCUCCGGCUAACUUCGUGCCAGCAGCCGCGGUAAUACGAAGGGGGCUAGCGUUGUUCGGAUUUACUGGGCGUAAAGCGCGUGUAGGCGGGUCGUUAAGUUGGGGGUGAAAUCCCGAGGCUCAACCUCGGAACUGCCUUCAAAACUGGCGACCUGGACUCAAGCAGAGGCAAGUGGAAUUGCGAGUGUAGAGGUGAAAUUCGUAGAUAUUCGCAGGAACACCAGUGGCGAAGGCGGCUAACUGGUCCGGUACUGACGCUGAGGUGCGAAAGCGUGGGGAGCAAACAGGAUUAGAUACCCCUGUAGUCCCUGAGCGGGCUGGCAAGGCGCAU
rnacentral:rRNA from 1 species